GAUGAACGCUAGCUACAGGCUUAACACAUGCAAGUCGAGGGACCGGCGCACGGGUGAGUGACACGUAUCCAACCUGCCCUUUACUCGGGGAUAGCCUUUCGAAAGACAGAUUAAUACCCGAUAUAAAGGAUGGGGAUGCGUUCCAUUAGGUUGUUGGUGAGGUAACGGCCAACCAAGCCUUCGAUGGAUAGGGGUUCUGAGAGGAAGGUCCCCCAAAUAGGAACUGAGGCACGGUCCAAACUCCUACGGGAGGCAGCAGUGAGGAAUAUUGGUCAAUGGGCGGUAGCCUGAACCAGCCAAGUAGCGGGAAGGAGGAAGGCUGAUGGGUCGUAAACUUCUUUUAUAGAAGAAUAUGUAUUAGAUGAAUAAGGAUCGGCUAACUCCGUGCCAGCAGCCGCGGUAAUAC
rnacentral:rRNA from 1 species